UCUCUCUCUCUCACUCAUAAAACCCGAACCAAGUUUUUACUUUUCUAAAAAAUGGGUCAAAUGGUUUCAAAAUGAGGAACUGAGGAUGAACACGUUGAAUGUUCAUCCCUCUCAUUUCUAGAAAAGCCCAAAACCUAGCCUAAUACAAAAAUCAUUAACAUCAAACCUCACUUGUUUCUUCCCCCUCAGUAUAAAUAUGGCCUUAAUUUAACGAAACCGCACACACAUAGAGAGAUCAACCCUUAUCCCUAAAUGAACCCUAAAUUUUCAUUAAUUUGCACGAUUACAUCAAGUUUAAAACAUUCAAAAGUAAAACAACAUCGAAUAUGUAAAGCGGAAGAUAAAUGAACAAUGAAAAACAAAGGAAAACUCCUCGCCUGAAAUUAGAUUUUCCGGUGAGAGCUCCGGCGGAGCCUCCCAACUUUUAGGGAAGAAUUGAGCUCGAGUUCAGAGAUAUUGCAGGAGGCUUUGGAGUUAUUUCUGUAGGGAUUUGGUAGAGAGAUUUUUUGUGUGUCGAGUCGAGUGAUUGAGUAGAAAAGGGCAUUUAUAAGUGAGGUAGAGGGGUUGAGGUGGUGAGACUCGUGUGGUCUUUGGAGGGAGUUUUGGUGAGUGUGUGAGUGGAAAUGAAGAAAGUGUGAAGGGGAGGAAAAACGGUGACUGAAGAUGGAUGUGGGAGGAUGAUGUUGAUUGCCCAUGGAUGAAUGUUAGUUGCAUUCAUAAGUCAUAACCAUGUAGCUCGUUUCACGCGUCUUAGCUUGAUUCAAAUUGUUUUUCUCUUUUUUUAUUUUAAAUUUUGUAUGUAUGUAGGUAGGUAUGAGUGAUGAGAUGCGUAAUGGUUGGAAUAGUUUAUGGAUGCAACUCCGUUUGUAAUUCACGUUCCACACAUGUAAUAUAAUAAUCAAUGGAAAUCACUUGUUUUUUUUUCAA